AUUGAACGCUGGCGGCAGGCCUAACACAUGCAAGUCGAGCGAGCGGCGGACGGGUGAGUAAUGUAUGGGGACUGCCCGAUAGAGGGGGAGAACUACUGGGAACGGUAGCUAAGACCCCAUACUAUCGGAUAACCCAUAUGGGAUUAGCUAGUAGGUGGGGUAAUGGCUCACCCAGGCGACGAUCCCUAGCUGGUCUGAGAGGAUGAUCAGCCACACUGGAACGGAGACACGGCCCAGACUCCUACGGAGGCAGCAGUGGGGAAUAUUGGACAAUGGGCGAAAGCCUGAUGCAGCCAUGCCGCGUGUAUGAAGAAGGCCCUAGGGUUGUAAAGUACUUUCAGUCGGGAGGCGUUACCGACAGAAGAAGCACCGGCUAACUCCGUGCCAGCAGCCGCGGUAAUAC
rnacentral:rRNA from 1 species